CAGGUUGCUAAAGAGGCUUCUGACAUGGUACUAGCUGAUGAAAAUUUCGGUACCAUAGUUGCUGUAGUUGAUGAAGGAAGAUCUAUUUAGAACAACAUGAAAGCGUUCAUAAGAUACAUGAUUACCUUAAACAUUGAUGAAGUUCUUUUCCUUACCUCUGCCUUGGGUAAUCCUGAUGGGUUGAUACCCGUUGAACUUCUAUGGGUAAAUCUCAUCACCGAUGGCCCCCCUGCAAUUGCUUUGGCUUUCAAUCUGUCUGACAAGGACAUGAGGAAGAAACCACUAAGGAGGAGUGAUGACUCACUGAUUACUCCCUGGAUUUUGUUCUGUUUCCUGGUCAUUGGCCUUUUCGUGGGGGUUGCAACCAUCGGCAACUAUGUCAUCUGGUACACACACGGACCUUUCAUGGGCAUUGAUCUCAUUGGAGAUGGCCACACACUUGUCAGUUACUCACAACUCUCUAAUUGGGGCCAGUGCACUAGUUGGGAUAACUCCAGAGUCCCCUUCAGUGCUGGUGCUAGAACUUUCACCUUCGACAACAACCCCUGCGGCUACUUCCAAUCUGGCAAAGUGAAGGCGGUUAUACUCUCGCUCAUGGCGAUCAAGAUGUUGAACUCUCUCAACACCCUCUCUCAGGACACAAGCCUGAUCAUGAUGCCUCCAUGGGUCAAUCUGUGGCUGCUCCUGGCCAUGUCGACGUCGUUGGGGUUGCACUUUGUAAUCCUCAACGUGCCAUUACUCGGGUAUAUUCUCCAGUAUGUUUAUUUAGUGAUGUUUCCCAAUGUUUCCAAGUGA
rnacentral:rRNA from 1 species